UACAGAGGGUGCGAGCGUUAAUCGGAAUUACUGGGCGUAAAGCGUGCGUAGAUGGUUAUGUAAGUCGGGUGUGAAAGCCUCGGGCUCAACCUGGGAAUUGCAUUCGAGACUGCAUAGCUAGGGUGCGGAAGAGGGAAGCGGAAUUUCCGGUGUAGCGGUGAAAUGCGUAGAUAUCGGAAGGAACAUCAGUGGCGAAAGCGGCUUCCUGGUCCAGCACCGACGUUCAGGCACGAAAGCGUGGGGAGCAAACAGG
rnacentral:rRNA from 1 species